CACCGGCAGCUCAAGUGGUAGCCAUGUUUAUUGGGUCUAAAGCGUCCGUAGCCGGCUGAGUAAGUUCCUUGGGAAAUUUGACCGCUUAACGGUUAAGCUAUCAGGGAAUACUGCUUGGCUUGGGACCGGGAGAGGUCAGAGGUACUCCAGGGGUAGGGGUGAAAUCUAUUAAUCCUUGGGGGCACCACCGGUAGCGAAGGCGUCUGACCAGACCGGGUCCGACGGUGAGGGACGAAGGCUGGGGUCGCGAACCGGAUUAGAUACCCGGGUAGUCCCAGCUGUAAACGAUGCGGGCCAGGUGUUGGCAUUACUGCGAGUGAUGUCAGUGCCAAAAGGGAAGCCGUUAAAGCCCGCCAUCUGGGGAGUACGGUCGCAAGGCUGAAACUUAAAGAAAUUGGCGGGGGAGCACCACAACGGGUGGAGCCUGCGGUUCAAUCGGAUUCAACGCCGGAAAAACUCACCGGAGGCGACAGCGAGAUGAAGGUCAGGCUGAAGACCUUACCGGAUUAGCUGAGAGGUGGCGCAUGGCCGUCGGCAGUUCGUGUCGUGAAGCAUCCUGUUAAAGUCAGGCAACGGGCGAGACCCGCGCUCACAGUUGCCAGCAUGUUCUUCGGAACGAUGGGCACUCUGUGAGGACUGCCACCGCUAAGGUGGAGGAAGAAGCGGGCCACGGUAGGUCAGUACGCCCCGAAUCUUCCGGGCUACACGCGUGCUACAAUGGGCAGUACAAUGGGUAUCAACCCCGAAAAGGGGAAAGGUAAUCUCCUAAAAACUGUCCUCAGUUGGGAUCGAGGGCUGCAACUCGCCCUCGUGAACCAAGGAAUCCGUAGUAAAUCGCCUCUCAAAAAUGAGGCGGUGAAAUAUGUCCUGCUCCUUGCACACACCGCCCGUCAAGGCUUG
rnacentral:rRNA from 1 species